AUGUCUGUCGCGGCCAUCUUCCUUAACCGGCCAUGCAAACAAAGGAGAGGACGAGUCUGCAGUGCAAGUAUGGUCUCACGUGCUUUGCACAAAAAAGAGAGCGGCAACAGGAGAUUCGUGUGGCUGUUACAUGGGAAAGAAGGAUGGCGUCGGGAGAAGGUGGAUGUGCAGAAAUGGCAGCAGAUCGUGGCCAUGGGGAGGUUUGUAGUGGGGUCGGAGUUCCAUGGCUUCCUCGUGCUCCCUGUCAAGUUUCUGGUGGAGAUGCCUCAUUACUGCACCAGUGCCAGGUACCAUCCCUCCAUGAGGUAUUGCAAGCUUUCUUCUCUUUACUUAAUUAUGGAUGAACUUCUGGUGAACAAAACUCCAUGUAGUUUGCCAAUUUGUAGCUCAGCGUGA
rnacentral:rRNA from 1 species